GACGAACGCUGGCGGCGCGCUUAACACAUGCAAGUCGAGCGAUAACCAUGGCUUCGGCCAUGGGGAGAGCGGCGAACAGGUGAGUAACACGUGAGCGAUCUGCCCUCGGCACCGGGAUAGCCCGGGGAAACCCGGAUUAAUACCGGAUGGCCUCUCGAGCCCACGGGCUCGUUAGAAAAGAUGGCUUCGGCUUUCGGUCGAGGAGGUGCUUGCGGCGGAGUAGCUUGUGGGUGGGGUAACGGCUCACCAAGGCGACGAUCCGUAGCUGGUCUGAGAGGACGAUCAGCCACACGGGGACUGAGACACGGCCCAGACUCCUCCGGGAGGCAGCAGUGGGGAAUCUUGCGCAAUGGGCGAAAGCCUGACGCAGCGACGCCGCGUGAGGGAAGAAGGCCUUCGGGUUGUAAACCUCUUUCAGGAGGGACGAAGCCACUCGGGUUAAUACCCCAGAGGGUGACGGUACCUCCAGAAGAAGCCCCGGCUAACUACGUGCCAGCCGCCGCAGUAAAAC
rnacentral:rRNA from 1 species